rnacentral:rRNA from 1 species
UACGGAUGUGUCAAGCGUUGUUCGGAAUCACUGGGCAUAAAGGGCGCGUAGGCGGGUUGCUAAGUCAGCUGUGAAAGCCCACGGCUUAACCGUGGAACGGCAGUUGAUACUGGCAGUCUUGAGUUCGGGAGAGGAGAGUGGAACUCCUGGUGGAGCGGUGGAAUGCGUAGAUAUCAGGGGGAACAGCGGAGGCGAAGGCGGCUCUCUAGUCCGAAACUGACACUGAGGCGCGAAAGCCAGGGGAGCGAACGGGAUUAGAUACCCCCGUA